AUUGAACGCUGGAGGCAGGCCUAACACAUGCAAGUCGAAAGAGUGGCGGACGGGUGAGUAAUGUCUGGGAAACUGCCUGAUGGAGGGGGAUAACUACUGGAAACGGUAGCUAAUACCGCAUACCAUCGGAUGUGCCCAGAUGGGAUUAGCUAGUAGGUGGGGUAAAGGCUCACCUAGGCGACUAUCCCUAGCUGGUCUGAGAGGAUGACCAGCCACACUGGAACUGAUACACGGUCCAGACUCCGACGGGAGGCAGCAGUGGGGAAUAGUGCACAAUGGGCGCAAGCCUGAUGCAGCCAUGCCGCGUGUAUGAAGAAGGCCUUCGGGUUGUAAAGUACUUUCAGCGGGGAGGCGUUACCCGCAGAAGAAGCACCGGCUAACUCCGUGCCAGCAGCCGCGGUAAUAC
rnacentral:rRNA from 1 species